rnacentral:tRNA from 1 species
GUUUUAAUAGUUUAAAAGAGAAUAAUGAUCUUGUAAAUCAUAGAUGGUUUUACCUUAAAACU